GACGAACGCUGGCGGCGUGCUUAACACAUGCAAGUCGAACGGUGAAGCUCCAGCUUGCUGGAGUGGAUCAGUGGCGAACGGGUGAGUAACACGUGAGCAACCUGCCCCAGACUCUGGAAUAAGCGCUGGAAACGGCGUCUAAUACUGGAUACGAGAUCAAGCCGCAUGGUUAUGGUCUGGAAAGUUUUUCGGUUUGGGAUGGGCUCGCGGCCUAUCAGCUUGUUGGUGAGGUAAUGGCUCACCAAGGCGACGACGGGUAGCCGGCCUGAGAGGGCGACCGGCCAAACUGGGACUGAGACACGGCCCAGACUCCUACGGGAGGCAGCAGUGGGGAAUAUUGCACAAUGGGCGAAAGCCUGAUGCAGCGACGCCGCGUGAGGGAUGACGGCCUUCGGGUUGUAAACCUCUUUCAGCAGGGAAGAAGCGAAAGUGACGGUACCUGCAGAAGAAGCACCGGCUAACUACGUG
rnacentral:rRNA from 1 species